UGGGGAAUAUUGCACAAUGGGCGCAAGCCUGAUGCAGCCAUGCCGCGUGUAUGAAGAAGGCCUUCGGGUUGUAAAGUACUUUCAGCGGGGAGGAAGGGAGUAAAGUUAAUACCUUUGCUCAUUGACGUUACCCGCAGAAGAAGCACCGGCUAACUCCGUGCCAGCAGCCGCGGUAAUACGGAGGGUGCAAGCGUUAAUCGGAAUUACUGGGCGUAAAGCGCACGCAGGCGGUUUGUUAAGUCAGAUGUGAAAUCCCCGGGCUCAACCUGGGAACUGCAUCUGAUACUGGCAAGCUUGAGUCUCGUAGAGGGGGGUAGAAUUCCAUGUGUAGCGGUGAAAUGCGUAGAAAUGUGGAGGAAUACCGGUGGCGAAGGCGGCCCCCUGGACAAAGACUGACGCUCAGGUGCGAAAGCGUGGGGAGCAAACAGG
rnacentral:rRNA from 1 species